rnacentral:rRNA from 1 species
AGAGUUUGAUCAUGGCUCAGAUUGAACGCUGGCGGCAGGCCUAACACAUGCAAGUCGAACGGUAACAGGAAGCAGCUUGCUGCUUCGCUGACGAGUGGCGGACGGGUGAGUAAUGUCUGGGAAACUGCCUGAUGGAGGGGGAUAACUACUGGAAACGGUGGCUAAUACCGCAUAACGUCGCAAGACCAAAGAGGGGGACCUUCGGGCCUCUUGCCAUCAGAUGUGCCCAGAUGGGAUUAGCUAGUUGGUGAGGUAACGGCUCACCAAGGCGACGAUCCCUAGCUGGUCUGAGAGGAUGACCAGCCACACUGGAACUGAGACACGGUCCAGACUCCUACGGGAGGCAGCAGUGGGGAAUAUUGCACAAUGGGCGCAAGCCUGAUGCAGCCAUGCCGCGUGUAUGAAGAAGGCCUUCGGGUUGUAAAGUACUUUCAGCGGGGAGGAAGGUGUUGUGGUUAAUAACCACAGCAAUUGACGUUACCCGCAGAAGAAGCACCGGCUAACUCCGUGCCAGCAGCCGCGGUAAUACGGAGGGUGCAAGCGUUAAUCGGAAUUACUGGGCGUAAAGCGCACGCAGGCGGUCUGUCAAGUCGGAUGUGAAAUCCCCGGGCUCAACCUGGGAACUGCAUUCGAAACUGGCAGGCUUGAGUCUUGUAGAGGGGGGUAGAAUUCCAGGUGUAGCGGUGAAAUGCGUAGAGAUCUGGAGGAAUACCGGUGGCGAAGGCGGCCCCCUGGACAAAGACUGACGCUCAGGUGCGAAAGCGUGGGGAGCAAACAGGAUUAGAUACCCUGGUAGUCCACGCCGUAAACGAUGUCUACUUGGAGGUUGUGCCCUUGAGGCGUGGCUUCCGGAGCUAACGCGUUAAGUAGACCGCCUGGGGAGUACGGCCGCAAGGUUAAAACUCAAAUGAAUUGACGGGGGCCCGCACAAGCGGUGGAGCAUGUGGUUUAAUUCGAUGCAACGCGAAGAACCUUACCUGGUCUUGACAUCCACAGAAGAAUCCAGAGAUGGAUUUGUGCCUUCGGGAACUGUGAGACAGGUGCUGCAUGGCUGUCGUCAGCUCGUGUUGUGAAAUGUUGGGUUAAGUCCCGCAACGAGCGCAACCCUUAUCCUUUGUUGCCAGCGGUUAGGCCGGGAACUCAAAGGAGACUGCCAGUGAUAAACUGGAGGAAGGUGGGGAUGACGUCAAGUCAUCAUGGCCCUUACGACCAGGGCUACACACGUGCUACAAUGGCGCAUACAAAGAGAAGCGACCUCGCGAGAGCAAGCGGACCUCAUAAAGUGCGUCGUAGUCCGGAUUGGAGUCUGCAACUCGACUCCAUGAAGUCGGAAUCGCUAGUAAUCGUGGAUCAGAAUGCCACGGUGAAUACGUUCCCGGGCCUUGUACACACCGCCCGUCACACCAUGGGAGUGGGUUGCAAAAGAAGUAGGUAGCUUAACCUUCGGGAGGGCGCUUACCACUUUGUGAUUCAUGACUGGGGUGAAGUCGUAACAAGGUAACCGUAGGGGAACCUGCGGUUG